AUUGAACGCUGGCGGCAUGCCUUACACAUGCAAGUCGAACGGCAUCGCGGGAAAGCUUGCUUUCCUGGCGGCGAGUGGCGAACGGGUGAGUAACACAUCGGAACGUACCGGCUAGUGGGGGAUAGCCCGUCGAAAGACGGGCUAAUACCGCAUACGCUCUUCGGAGGAAAGCAGGGGACCUUUGGGCCUUGCGCUAGCCGAGCGGCCGAUGUCCGAUUAGCUAGUUGGUGGGGUAAAGGCCUACCAAGGCGACGAUCGGUAGCGGGUCUGAGAGGACGAUCCGCCACACUGGGACUGAGACACGGCCCAGACUCCUACGGGAGGCAGCAGUGGGGAAUUUUGGACAAUGGGGGCAACCCUGAUCCAGCAAUGCCGCGUGGGUGAAGAAGGCCUUCGGGUUGUAAAGCCCUUUCGGCAGGGAAGAAAUCGGCGGGGCGAAUAACCCUGCUGGAUGACGGUACCUGCAGAAGAAGCACCGGCUAACUACGUG
rnacentral:rRNA from 1 species